rnacentral:rRNA from 1 species
AUACGAAGGUCCCAAGCGUUAUUCGGAAUCACUGGGCGUAAAGAGUACGUAGGCGGUUUGGUAAGUCAGGUGUGAAAUCCCGAAGCUCAACUUCGGUACUGCAUCCGAUACUGCCAGACUAGAGUAAUGGAGAGGCAGGUGGAAUUCUCGGUGUAGCAGUGAAAUGCGUGGAUAUCGAGAGGAAGACCAAUGGCGAAGGCAGCCUGCUGGACAUUUACUGACGCUGAGGUACGAAGGCUAGGGGAGCGAAAGGGAGUAGAAACCCCAGUAGUCC